UUUCAUCUUCCUUCUUAACUCCCCGGAUUUUGUCUCUGAGCUGAUGCUUCAGGUCACCAUUAAUGCCUCUUGCCUGUGACCAUGUACAGUUGAGCAUAGCUGUCUUCUUUGUUGAGAUGUUGUGCCUGAAUGGAAACCUAGCAGCAUCUACUGUUCUUGCAUGGUCACACUUUUAUUCCUGAGAACUAUAUGGAUACAGACCCUUUGUCUUUGGGCACAGAAUGCUGCUGUGAAAUGUCUGACCUGAAACUGACUACCCUCCUGCAUGCCAGCAUCCUGGAGCACACUAAGACCAGAAGACCAAAAAAGAAACAGGAUUUGAACAACACUAUAGAACAAAUGAACCCAACAGACAUAUACAAAAUAUUCCACUCAACAGCAGCAGAAUAUACAUUUUUCUCAAACG
rnacentral:lncRNA from 1 species